GUUUUUUUUUUGUGGUUGGAAGCGUAAAUUUUACAAAGAACAUUUAUUUUUAUAGAGUUUCCAUUUGCAGAACAUUACCUACUGUUCUGACCAGCUUAAGGGUCUGCUACAAUGAACAAGGAGGAAAUAUCGAAAUUAUUCCAUAUUCAUGACUGGAAAAAUUAAAACAUUUCUGUGAAAAAUGUUUUAGAAGUAUCUUGAAAGUAAAGUAAUUGGUCCUUGAGGUGGUAUAGUGACUCGCCUCAAUCCGGUUGGCGGAGGACGAAUCUCAGUUGCCUCCGCGUCUGAGAUCAUCAACCUGCAGCAUCUUAUCACGUGGCUUGUUGAGCGCGUUACCGCAGAGACAUAGCGUGUGUGGAGGCUUCACGCUAAACUCACCAUGUGCCCCACCAAGAACCAUAUUAUAACUACCACGAAGAGGUUACCCCAUGUGACUCUACCCUCCCUAGCAACCGGGCCAAUUUGGUUGCUUAGGAGACCUGGCUGGAGUCACUCAGCACGCCCUGGGUUCGAACUUGUGACUCCAGGGGUGGUAGUAACUUCUUUUCUUUUUUUACUUUGAGAAGAAAACAGACAUUUUUAUAAAUAUAAUACACAUAACGUGAUUGCAAUAAAGUAAUCGGUGAUGUAACCUGAUUGCACUUUUAGAUUAAUAAUCAGUCAUUUGUAGUAGAUAACUUUGAGUAGCCUAAUUUACCAUACAUACAUACAUACACUGCUAUCUAUAAUGACAAUUGUCUAUUGAGUUUACAACCGUCCCUGAUAGUAUUAUUACUAUAGUAAUAGAAAGUAUUACUACUAAUAGUAUUAUAGUAUUAAAUACUAUGCAAAUAAAUGUAAUAUUUUCUUGGAAAUCUUUCAUCUUUCCAACUAUUUGCAUGACCUUUAACCUAUCUGAUCAGCAUUAUAUAAUGUAAUGUAAUCAAUAAAAGUGUUCACUAGGAGUUACCAAGAAAAUAAAGCUUUUCGCCUUCCCUGGG